rnacentral:rRNA from 1 species
CCUACGGGAGGCAGCAGUGAGGAAUAUUGGUCAAUGGACGAGAGUCUGAACCAGCCAAGUAGCGUGAAGGAUGACUGCCCUAUGGGUUGUAAACUUCUUUUAUAUGGGAAUAAAAUGUUCCACGUGUGGGAUUUUGUAUGUACCAUAUGAAUAAGGAUCGGCUAACUCCGUGCCAGCAGCCGCGGUAAUACGGAGGAUCCGAGCGUUAUCCGGAUUUAUUGGGGUUAAAGGGAGCGUAGGUGGAGUGUUAAGUCAGUUGUGAAAGUUUGCGGCUCAACCGUAAAAUUGCAGUUGAAACUGGCAGUCUUGAGUACAGUAGAGGUGGGCGGAAUUCGUGGUGUAGCGGUGAAAUGCUUAGAUAUCACGAAGAACGCCGAUUGCGAAGGCAGUUCACUGGACUGCAACUGACACUGAGGCUCGAAAGUGUGGGUAUCAAACAGGAUUAGAUACCCCAGUAGUC